rnacentral:rRNA from 1 species
UACGAAGGGGGCUAGCGUUGCUCGGAAUCACUGGGCGUAAAGGGCUCGUAGGCGGCCAACUAAGUCGGACGUGAAAUCCCUCAGCUUAACUGGGGAACUGCGUCCGAUACUGGAUGGCUUGGAUUUGGGAGAGGGAUGCGGAAUUCCAGGUGUAGCGGUGAAAUGCGUAGAUAUCUGGGGGAACACCGGUGGCGAAGGCGGCAUCCUGGACCAAUAUUGACGCUGAGGAGCGAAAGCCAGGGGAGCAAACGGG